CUGAAAUUCGCCUUCAUGAAGUCGGAAUUGCUAGUAAUGGCAGGUCAGCAUACUGCCGUGAAUACGUUCCCGGGCCUUGUACACACCGCCCGUCACACCAUGAGAGUUGGAGAUACCCCGAAGUCCGUAGCCUAACCGCAAGGGGGGCGCGGCCGAAGGUGGGUUCGAUAAUUGGGGUGAAGUCGUAACAAGGUAUC
rnacentral:rRNA from 1 species